rnacentral:rRNA from 1 species
CCUACGGGAGACUGCAGUGAGGAAUAUUGGUCAAUGGACGAGAGUCUGAACCAGCCAAGUAGCGUGAAGGAUGACUGCCCUAUGGUUUGUAAACUUCUUUUAUAUGGGAAUAAAACGUUCCACGUGUGGGAUUUUGUAUGUACCAUAUGAAUAAGCAUCGGCUAACUCCGUGCCAGCAGCCGCGGUAAUACGGAGGAUCCGAGCGUUAUCCGGAUUUAUUGGGUUUAAAGGGAGCGUAGGUGGAUUGUUAAGUCAGUUGUGAAAGUUUGCGGCUCAACCGUAAAAUUGCAGUUGAAACUGGCAGUCUUGAGUACAGUAGAGGUGGGCGGAAUUCGUGGUGUAGCGGUGAAAUGCUUAGAUAUCACGAAGAACUCCGAUUGCGAAGGCAGUUCACUGGACUGCAACUGACACUGAGGCUCGAAAGUGUGGGUAUCAAACAGGAUUAGAUACCCUAGUAGUC